ACGUAGGGUGCGAGCGUUAUCCGGAAUUACUGGGUGUAAAGGGUGCGUAGGCGGCUAUUUAAGUCAGAUGUGAAAACUCAGGGCUCAACCUUGAGGCUGCAUCUGAAACUGAGUAGCUAGAGUGUGGGAGAGGAAAGUGGAAUUCCGAGUGUAGCGGUGAAAUGCGUAGAGAUUCGGAGGAACACCAGUAGCGAAGGCGGCUUUCUGGGCCAUAACUGACGCUGAGGCACGAAAGCGUGGGGAGCAAACAGGA
rnacentral:rRNA from 1 species